UAAUAUACUAGUUCGUUUUGUUAGGUCAUUGGAACUCGGAAAUUUUCAAUCUGGUUAUCAAAAAAUUGUAGCAGUGAAACAAAGAAAGGAAAGCAAAGAAGAAAGUUUGGUAAAAAUGCAGAAAGUGGUAGUGCUAAAAUCAGUGUAUCGUUCUGUAUGUCGCAGAUCCUCUUCAGCUUUCAAGUUUCCUGCUGCCUCAAACUCACAUCGCCAACUUCAUUUCUCAGCUAACAUUUUUUCAGCUACUCCUACAACCCCUUUUCGUGAAUUGCAACAUCCUUUGACAACGGCAAUAGGAAGCACACGUUCUUUUUGUGUGGAUUUGACCCACAUGCCUGACAUAAAAGAUCCAGAGGUCAAACGAGCUUUUAAGGACUUAAUGGCUGCAAGCUGGGAUGAGCUUCCAAAUGCAGUUGUUGGUGAUGCAGAGCAUGCAUUGACUAAAACUACUGAUGACAAGGCUGGUCAGGAAGCUUUGAUUAAUGUUUUCCGUGCAGCAGAGGCAGUAGAGGACUUCACAGGGAUUCUCACAUCUCUGAAAAUGGAGAUUGAUGAUGCGAUCGGUUUAAGUGGUGAGAAUGUGAAGCCUAUGUCAAAAGAAUUCUCUGAUGCAUUCCAAACAAUCUUUCAACGUUACACCACCUACUUGAAUGCUUUUGGGUCAGAAGAGGGAUACUUGAAGAAGAAAGUUGAGAUGGAACUCGGGACAAAGAUGAUACACCUGAAGAUGAGAUGCAGUGGCCUUGAUUCUGAAUGGGGAAAGGUUACAGUUCUCGGAACUUCGGGACUAGCUGGUUCCUAUGUUGAGCAAAGAGCAUAAGCCUUCAGUGAUGACAGAGUCUCAGAAGUGUUUUCGCCUUUAUGUCACUUGUGUAAGAUUUUCCUGGAAGAGAAAAGGUAGUCUUAGAUAAAACAGGUUGCUAGCAAUGUGAUCCGUUAAGUUGCACUGUUCUUUCGCAAGUUUGAUAAUGUCAUAACAGCAAUAGUCAGUUGAUACUGAUCCUAAUAAUUUCUUCAAGAAGAUAGUUUCCUGAGUAUUUAGAAAGAUAGGGUUGACUGAUGAAUCAGGUUCACUGUUUUAAUUUUUUAUUGAUUGGUUAUUGCACAGGGCACUCUGUGGGAGCCAGUUCACUUUUAUCUC